CUUUUUCAUUUCUGUGGGGAAAAAUACAAAGUACUUUUAGUCCCCUGAACACCGCGAUGGUUUUAGCAGUCGUUUUUCUGUGGCUACUGGAAAAACGAUGGAAAUUAUUGAAAAAAGGGCGAAAUACGAAGAAAACGAGGAGACGAAGGGUCGUUGGAAGCUCGCAUCAAGGCCACAAGAAAGGGCUCGCACGUACUGCGGAACGACUCGGCCGUCCGACCUCGAACGGAAUAAACUUCGUAUACCGUGACUUUGACUCUGUGCGGCGGAUUUCAUCGAUAAUAAAUUUACUUGUGAAAGAAAGGAAAGAGGAGAGCUCGAAAAAUCGAUUUCUCGCUCUCGUCGAAAAAAAAAUGGUGUCCCCGUGACACGAAGCUCGUUCAGUUUCACCUGCAGCUUCGUUCGAAAGUGUUUUAUUCAAAAUAAAGUGAAAAAUUUAUUGAAAAAGUGAUUCUAAUUACUUUCGCGAUCGAUUUCGAGGAAAAUACGAACUCCCCGAGGAUUUUUAUACUCGAUCUCGUCCCGAGUGUCUUGCGAAUGGAAAACAACGAAUCCGCCGUAUUCGAACGCGCACGCGGUGUAUCGAUGCACUUGACCCCAAGCUCGAGCACAGCCAUGACUUCAAUUUGCGGCAUGAUCGAUCAUCAUUUCCACGAGGAAUCGUCGCAGCGCGAAACGAUAAGAAAGUGGAAGCCCGGAGCUCGACGUGCUCUGCGAUUAUCAAUUCCUUGCGACUCGCCAGCGCGGCGGACGGUUUUCUCGCACUUUUAUUCCUCGCUCACCCCUUUUUUCUGCCUAACUUUUUUACCAUUCUUAUCGUCGAGGGCACAACGUUUCUCGAACUCGACGUUAACUUUCGCCUCGAUUAUCUCCGGAAGCAAAUUAUUCUUCGCCCUGUCCGUGAAACCUGACGAAUCGUAGCGCCAAAAAUAGCUCCCGCCGGAGGAUUUUCUCCCGAGAUUUCUGCACGACGGAACCGCACUCGUUCCGGUUUUUAACCCCGAUUACCGAACGGACGUCAAGUUAUUCGUCGACUCUCGUCGGACGUUCAACACAACAGUUGAAGGCAAAAAACUGUCGACCUCCCAGCGGAUUAAUUCGACUCGAAUGGCUGGUGCAUAAUGUCGAUAAUUAUAAUGGUAUUUUACCGGUAUUCAAAGACUUACGACUAAUUGCUGACGUGCCAGAUAGACGUUGCGAAUAGCGCCUGUAAUGAUGACGUUGCUUUUCUUCAGACUCGGAAUAUAAGGAUCGCCGGCGUCGGGAAACAUUAUUUGCGUGGCAGUCCGUUGCAUAAUCAUCUUGAGAUUCGAGUUCUGCUUGCCCAGCACGAUGCUGUGGUGCUGCGGCGAGAUCUCCAUCGACAUUUGCACUUGAAUCUGGUUCUGCAGUUUAAUUACAAUGGAUUUAUCCAAAUUUCGAUAACUCGGUAGCACAAAAUUUUACUUUUCUCAUCUCCUUCUCAACCGAACUUGAGGAACUUUCGUUAUAAAGUAAAGAAAAGUCGAAUACUCACCGCGAGGUGGUCGCACAUGUAAUGAAUGAGCAGCAGCGUCGCGUCCUUAGCUUUGCUCACUUCCCACUCGCAGCCUUUGACGACGACGA